UUCCGGUUGAUCCUGCCGGACCUGACUGCUAUCGGAUUGAUACUAAGCCAUGUGAGUCAUUGUAGCAAUACAAGGCAGACGGCUCAGUAACACGUAGUCAAUCUACCCUAUGGACGGGGAUAACCUCGGGAAACUGAGGAUAACACCCGAUAGAUCAUAAUUCCUGGAACGGUUUAUGGUCCAAACGAUUCGUCGCCGUAGGAUGGGACUGCGGCCUAUCAGCUUGUUGGUGAGGUAAUGGCCCACCAAGGCUAUUACAGGUACGGGCUCUGAGAGGAGAAGCCCGGAGAUGGGUACUGAGACACGGACCCAGGCCCUAUGGGGCGCAGCAGGCGAGAAACCUUUGCAAUGUGCGCAAGCACGACAAGGUUAAUCCGAGUGUUUCCUGCUAAAGGAAUCUUUUGUUAGUUGUAAAACCACUAUCGAAUAAGGGGUGGGCAAGUUCUGGUGUCAGCCGCCGCGGUAAAACCAGCACCUCAAGUGGUCAGGAUGAUUAUUGGGCCUAAAGCAUCCGUAGCCGGCUCAGUAAGUUUUCGGUUAAAUCUGUACGCUCAACGUACAGGCUGCCGGGAAUACUGCAGAGCUAGGGAGUGGGAGAGGUAGACGGUACUCGGGAGGAAGUGGUAAAAUGCUUUGAUCUUUCGAUGACCACCUGUGGCGAAGGCGGUCUACCAGAACACGUCCGACGGUGAGGGAUGAAAGCUGGGGGAGCAAACCGGAUUAGAUACCCGGGUAGUCCCAGCUGUAAACUAUGCAAACUCAGUGAUGCAUUGGCUUGUGGCCAAUGCAGUGUUGCAGGGAAGCCGUUAAGUUUGCCGCCUGGGAAGUACGUACGCAAGUAUGAAACUUAAAGGAAUUGGCGGGGGAGCACCACAAGGGGUGAAGCCUGCGGGUUCAAUUGGAGUCAACGCCGGG
rnacentral:rRNA from 1 species